rnacentral:rRNA from 1 species
UACAGAGGUCUCAAGCGUUGUCCGGAGUUACUGGGCGUAAAGGGUGCGCAGGCGGCGGUUCGCGUGGCGAGAUGAAAUCUCCUGGCUUACCUGGGAGGAUGGUCGCCAGACGGGAUCGCUUGAGGGUCGGAGAGGGGCGUGGAAUUCCGGGUGGAGCGGUGAAAUGCGUAGAGAUCCGGAGGAACACCGACGGCGUAGGCAGCGCCCUGGACGACACCUGACGCUGAGGCACGAAAGCUGGGGGAGCGAACAGG